AAAGAAAAUAACAAUGAUUCCCCUAGUAACGGCGAGCGAAGAGAGAAUAGCUCAAAUUUUAAAUCUGUUGGGUCUUACCUAACCGAGUUGUAAUUUGAAGAAGCGUUUUCUGCAUGUUUGAUUUAGCCCAAAUCCUUUGGGAUAAGGUAUCAUGGAGGGUGAGAAUCCCGUCCGGCCUAAUCAAAUGUGCUUUUACGAUACGUUUUCUAAGAGUCGAGUUGUUUGGGAUUGCAGCUCAGAAUGGGAGGUAAAUUUCUCCUAAGGCUAAAUAUUGGCGAGAGACCGAUAGCGAACAAGUACCGUGAGGGAAAGAUGAAAAGAACUUUGAAAAGAGAGUUAAACAGUACGUGAAAUUGUUGAAAGGGAAACGAUUAAAGUCAGUCGUACUAACGGGGAAUCAACCUUUUGAGGGUGGAAUUGUGGGAUUCAGAGUGCCUUUGUCUUUCACAACCUGCUUUCUUUGGGUGCACUUUCUCGUAUUGUAGGUCAGCAUCGGUUUCGACCGUUAUAAAAUGACUGGAGGAAUGUAGCUUCGAUCUCGUAUUGAAGUGUUAUAGCCUUUGGUAGAUGUAACGGGUGGGAUCGAGGAUUGCAAUGAAUACCCUCAUGGGCUAUCCGCCUGGCCUCUGACAUGUCACUCUGGUGCCGAAAGCUUGCUUAUGGUAUUAUAGUGUACGGUCAAAAGGUUAGAACGGAUUAAAUU
rnacentral:rRNA from 1 species